ACAGACCUACAUAAUCUAGAUUGUCGAAACAUGACAUUUUUUGUUAUCUCCAUGGAAACUAAAAGGCAAUAAACUUUUGAUUAUAUGAUGAUAUCAUAGAUUAGAUUUGAGUGAAAAUUUUCUGAAGUUCUGUGAUUAAUAGAUCUAGCCUCUUCUAGAUCUAUUUAACUAUUUAAAAUCCGCGAAAUGGGAUUGUAAUAUUUCUAAACUUUAAAGACUAAAGAUCUUUUUUUUUCUGAGAAUCAUACAGAACGAAGACCGAUUUCCAAGAUCGAACCACAACUGGUUGGGAAUAGGGUCCGCCUUCCAAGAUUUAGAAAUUAGAUCUAUAGAUCUAGAUAUAGAUAGAAUAGAUCUAGAUGAUAUUACUAUUACUAGAGUCUAGAUCUAUAUAUUACAAGCUUAAUAGGAAAGCCUUGAUGCUGAAAGCCCAGAAAGUGAAACCAAGAACUUGAAGUAGAUCUAGUUGAAGAAGCACCAGCAUACCACAAACACAUGUCAUGCUGGCUAAAUGAUCACUAAAUGAUCUUGGCAUUGGCAAUGAGAUGUGAAAUAAAGAAUCUAGAUCUAUGAAAUUUAAAAAAUGUACAAUGUGAAUAAGCAUUUGUAGCAUGUGCAGGGGCGGACUGGCUAUAUGGGCAUUCGGGCAAAUGCCCAGUGGGCCGGUAUCCAAAUGGGCUGCUAGGACUACAAAGUAAUAAUUGGAUGGCUGCCUGGUCGUGAGGUUUGCGCGCUGGACUGUCGUUCAGAUUUAUCGAUGGUCGAGGGUUCAAAUCCUGCCCGCUCCCAUCCCCCGUCGUCCUGCGGGAGGUUUGGACUAGGAAGUAAACUAUCUUCAACUCUGAAGGAACAUCCGAAACAUACUGACAUGGUCUCCACAUUGAAACUGCAAACACUACCACAUGGACCAAAGAUUUUGACUGAGUGAGAGCCAAGAAAGUCAAUGUAGGCUCCAUAGCCUGCUCUUCCAGAAUCUAUCGAUGCUGACCCAUCAGUGAAUGCAAAAAUAGCACUGAGCUUGAAGUCAUGAUUGCCUUUAUAUGUGGACAAAUAAGCCUAUACAGUAUUUCCAAGAAUGAGAUAUUUGCAGGAUAGAGUCAUUUGACUUACAAGCCUCUUAGAGACCACUGGGACAUUGUUCUGGGCUGCCUUUGGUAUGGGGAACUCUCAGGCACCAGCUAUUAAAGAAGAAACAAAUAGCAGUCAGGUUAAUGGUGACUCAGAGAUAAAAGACAGUGUGCUGCUGAAAGUCAUUGAGGUGGUUGGCUACGUUUUGUAUGGAGUUUACAUUCUUGAUGCUGUCAUGGUCCUGAUCAACAUUGCUAUGAUGAAUUUGAAGACAUUUAGAAUGCCCAAAAGAUUAGUCAGCUAAGGAGCCUAAAAUGUUAGCCUGUUUACAAAUAUGAGAUCUUCCUUGACUACACAAGUACCUUACAGAAGAAGGCUACUCACUUGUGUUUGGAUAUGUCAGCUGUUUUGUCCCUGUGGCCCUUUUCAAGCAUGACAGAUACUAUUCUAAGCAGCUUUUUUCUCUGGAAAUUAUUCAACCACAGAAGCUGUGAGGGAUAUCUGAAAUCCAUUGCUUACUUGUCUAGAAAGACUUCCAUCCAUUGAGUGAUAAAAGAUUAAGUGUACACAACUUUUAGUAGUCACCACAUAACACUUAACAUUUAGAUGCUCAAGACAAUACUGUUCAUGAAUGGUUUAUUUUUCUUUAUGCUGAGAGUGUCCAAGAAGGAUAAGGUCAAAGGUUAAUUGGACAAACAAGUUAAUAAACUUUGUCUUUGAAUCUGAAAUUGUAGAACUUGUAGAGAAAAAAAAACAACUAAGUGUUUUUUAUUUUAAUUUACCAGGCACCAAGUACCUACUAUUCAUUUACUUUGACUGUUGACUUUAAGUUAGAAAUUAAGGAAAGAUUUCUUUGAGCUAUAUUUGUCAAUGACCAUAGGCAUUAAGAGAGUUGACACCUCAUUUUACUUUUCAACAAGAUGAUGUCUUAAAGAAAUUAAGAGCUUUUGAUGGAAUUCUGUGGUUGAAUAACAAAAGGAAUAAUCACAGGAUUCCAUCAAAAUCAUUGCAAUUUGAACAUUGUUGGUAGUGUCAAUGUUAUUAAGUUUACAUAAAGUAUUUAAGUAUAGUUCUUGGUGUUAUUACAUUAUUCAUUUUCUAGUGACCAGGCAGUGUUUUAUACCAUGAAUGAAUAUCUGUUGUAAGAGAUUUAAGGUAUACAACUCCAUUAAUAAUAUCUUUGACAAUAAAAUAUUUUGAUCAAGUUUAUAUUUUUGGAACAGAAUAUGCUAAUGUGUUAAAUGCACAUUUUUCUUUUUUUUUUUGGAAUAACAACUGAUAUUUAGUUUUAUCCCUUUGUAUCUUUCUACAGUAGAUGCACUGUCAUACUAAAUAGAAAUUUUAAAAAAUUAUAAUUUCUAAUCAAAUUGUCUCCCUUUUAAAAUCAAAUAUCUAAAUGAAUCAUGCUACUUUGAUUCUACACAAUCUACAGGACUACCAAUGUACAUUAGUUUUGAACAAAAAGUUGCUAACUUUAAAUAAUUGAUUAACUCAUUUUGAUAUUUAUGUAUUUACCUUGUAAUAAAAGUGGCAUUCAUUUUACAAUUUCAUUUUGUUUUAUUGUAACUGGUCUGUGUUAAUUUCUUUUUUUUUUCAAAUUACUUUGUAUUGCCUAUAUGGGGAAAUGGUAUUUCUGGUGUUUCUUUGCUCAGCAAAAACAAAUCAGGAUUUGAACUCAAGCCCCCUUGACAGUGGUUUAUGCCAGAUAUCCAGCAUUUCAUGCAGUUUGUAGGCCAAAUUUGAUACUCACAGUGCCCUAGUGCAGGUAGAAAGAGGAAACCUUGCCUAAUUAAUGUUUGCUGCUCCAGACUUGCUUCUCUCUAUCUCAACUGAUCUAGGAAGCACUACAGCUGGGUUUCAGUCCACUGCAUUGGCUAGAGAGGAUUUCAGUCUCUCAGGCUGCAACUUAAAUGAAGUCUGAUGUGAUUUUAUUCUUUAAAAGUUGUAUGGAUGUCUUUAAGCUACAUAACUUAUCCUAGUCCAAUGUGUUGAUUGACAUAGUUACCAGGUACUGGUACUAAAAAAAAAUGCCGCUUUUAUCCUCCCCUUCCAGCAACCCUUAGAUCUAGUUUUUCUAAAUUUCUAGUAGUUUAAUAGUGCUUUUCCAUAUGUCAUUAAAAAGUUAUGUUAAAAGUUAA